rnacentral:rRNA from 1 species
GACGUAGGGGGCCAGCGUUGCUCGGAAUUACUGGGCGUAAAGGGUUCGUAGGCGGUGCGGUAAGUCGGAAGUGAAAUCUCUGGGCUUAACCCAGAGCCUGCUUUCGAAACUGCCGUGCUCGAGUGCGGGAGAGGCGAGUGGAAUUACAGGUGUAGCGGUGAAAUGCGUAGAUAUCUGUAGGAACACCCGUGGCGAAGGCGGCUCGCUGGACCGCAACUGACGCUGAGGAACGAAAGCUAGGGGAGCAAACAGG